rnacentral:snRNA from 1 species
AUGAGGGUGAUCUGGCUGUGAUAUCCGUCACCUCAUUGAUGGCCAAGGUUGGUUCAGCUGAUCUGGCUGGCUAGGUGGGUGGCCCCUUCCUCCCUCAUGUGUGUCCCUCCUAAAGUUGUCAGCCUGGUCGAAGAAGAAGACCACCCCAGAUAGAGGAGGACUGUUUCUCAGCCAAAGGUAGAGGAGUAGCAGUGCUCCUCGGCUAGAAUCUCCAAACAAGCACUCAAGGUCCAUUCAAAGAUGCAAAUCUCCAUUCAAAUUGAAAAUAUGACUAUCAAUGUAAUAUUUAUGUAUAUAUUUAAUAUAUAA